rnacentral:rRNA from 1 species
UACACGACUCUCGGCAAUGGAUAUCUCGGCUCUUGCAUCGAUGAAGAGCGCAGCGAAAUGCGAUAUGUGGUGCGAAUUGCAGAAUCCCGUGAACCAUCGAGUCUUUGAACGCAAGUUGCGUCUGAGGCCAGCCGGCCAAGGGCACGUCUGCCUGGGCGUCAAGC